UCCUCGUUGUAGAAGUCCUGCAAACAUUGUGUUUGCUGGUAGUCUGUUGGCAUCUACAGUAGCACCAAUGCUUUUGACUUUCACCUUGACUGGGCCCCAUUUGUAAUGAUCUGAAGGAUUUAUCUGCAUUAUAUCUGAAUUUAAUUGGAACGAUACGAGCGAGCAGGAGCGCCUGUUUGUGGGCGGGGCUUGAGAGGAGGAGCUGAGGAGAAAACUGGUUGGGAGGGGUAGAGUUUACAUUCAAGAUUUCUCCUAAAAACUGGAACUAACUCAGAUCCUGACUACAACACCUUUUAUCCCAAAUUUCCACUGCAUGCAGAACAGUGACGAAAAGGCUGAUGGCGCAGAUCGCCACUAAUUGCCGCUGAUCAUUUCCAUCCAAGUCAAAUUCCACCGGCUUCUUUCCGAUCUGCUGCAGUUCAGCGGGCUUCAUAGCCGUUCGCUAAGGUUCUAUUUUUUGUGGACGCCAGAGCAUGCCGUAUACAUUCAGCACACAUGAACCCGUGCUGGAAAGGAAGUCAGGCUCAGACAAGAAAUAAAACAUUUGCCGUCUUUUCAAAAUAAAACCUGAAUUUCUUUAUACGGAUCGUAUUUCACACCAUGCAAACAUGGGCGCGGACGAACAAGUCAUGGGUUUUCAGACGUCAUUUCACCACAUUGACACCAUGAUGAGGAGAUGCUGUUUUUAGAAGUCCAAAAUCAUGGAAUAAUCUCUGACCGGUCUCAUUCCUUAAAUACAGACAAUGGUAAAAAGGAAAUGGCGUGGGACUCUAUAGCAGGAGUAAUGGGAGUGGAUGGUAAGUUACAAAUUCGUACCAAUAUAUAUUUCUUAUACGGUUAUGUGUCUGUCUUUAUAGAGACAGCUCAUUAUCCUGCUAUCGCAUGUGAAUUCGCAGGUUUGUCGUCAUGAUUCCCGCCCUCCAAAAUCCGCCUCAAAAACACAUCUGGUAGGCUUUGGCGCAACCGUUACGCAGUAGCACCGUUCAACACACGGUGGAAUUUGAGGGUUAGCUGUGGGUGAAUAACAGUGUUAGAUGUUCUUGAUAUCUCAGGUGGACUCUGUAGAUCACUUUGGUAAAUGGUCACCAUCCGGGUCUUGAGCGAUUGAAUAAAGCUUUUAAAACUUAGGAAUCGGGUUAUCGACCGUUUCAUGACAGCGUGGCGAGGGUCAUUACACUCAGGUCUUCAGCAUGGACGUCGGUAAACGAUUGGGUUUGGAUUGAUAGUGUAAAGUGAAAUCCGUCGAUCCUCCUACUUUUAAUCACUCACCUUAUCAAUACCAAGUUCAUCAAUACUUUUGAUAAACUGUUACAUCUCCUUAAUUAAAAAGUGCCAAACACUCCCUGAAGUUCUCAUCCUGGACUCAGAGAACUUUAAAUGUGCUCUCCCACGGAACUAUUGAAGAACUCGAUAAUCAAUAGGAAAUAAUAACCAGUUGCAGCCCUCAUUAAAAGUUUCUAACUCGACUUAUUAGAAAACCGUCUAUUCAGUGCAGUUGUUAUCCCCGCUCCACCACCUCCCGUGUUAAUCAAUCGCCUCCGGACUGUGAUGCAGCUCCAGGUCCCCGUUAACGAGCUCAUCAGGUCCAGGUCAGAUCCAUCUGGCUCUGCAGAUGAAGAUCAGCUCCAAGAAUGAAAUGUCUGCAGUUGCCAGAAGUCAUAUCCUCAGUUAUUUUUAAUCAUCAACAGAGCUCACACUCCACUCCACCAGGGGGAUGAAUUCAUAUGCUGCCCACCUCCUCAUUAAGAGGAGCUCGCAGAGGGAGUUGUUGCCAAAGAGUAGCUCCAUGUUUCCUCACCUUUUUCUGCCGGCAAUUAGCGAUCACGCCUCAAACUGUGCGCAGGAUCCAGACUAAGACGGUGAUGAUCUAAUGAAUCUAAUUUAAUCAGUCGAUGAGGAAACAUGAACUAGUUGGACUUGUAACUGAGCUUGUCCGGCUUCUGCAGCGAGUGAUUUAUCAGUAUGAGGGUCAAAGACAGAUUUAUUGGCUUAAUAUAUUCCUGCAUUUUCCUUUCUCUGGUGUAAAAACCUCGUUUGAAUCCACGGAUAACGAUUCUUUCGAUCUUCUGAUUAAAUAAUCACAGAUUUAAAGGCCUCAACACAAACAGGAAGACAACUUGUUAUCGUGAAAUUGCUCAUGAAUCUGCGGGUUCUGAUCGUGAUUCCUGCGGUCCGUAAUCCGCCACGAAAUUUGUCUCACAAACGGAUCCGACAGGGAUUGGCAUACAGCGAAAAUCGCCUCCAUUCCGGAUCAGAGCCAUUCCAGAUGGGGUGAAAAUCCCAGGUUUCUCCUUCUUAAAGCAGUUGAUCUGUUUGAUAUUUCAUAUACAUGAUUAAUAUCAAUCCCUAAACACAUCUAUGUGCCAAUUUCUGCUCUACUGUUAUAGCGCCACCCAGUGGAAACACAUGGUCCUAACUUCUGCAUACAUGGAAUGUACAGAAGACGAACACAGCCAUGGAUUUUUCUUUUUUAUGCACCGUUAUCUCAUGAUAAUGACUUAUCUUGUUUGUUUUCUUGUGAUAACAGAAAUGGCGUUCUCGCCGACCUCAACGGUAACUUUUAAAAAUGCCCUCCAGAUUUGGGAUAUUUCGGAAACGCCGCAGGAACUGAAUGAACUCUGUUACACUGAGAUAACGAGAUAAUAAGUCAUUAUCACAAGAUGACAGUGUAUAAAAAAAACAUCAUGGCCGUUCUCAUCUUCCGUGGGUUUGAGCCUGUUCAUAGAAACAGUGCCCCCUGUUGGACGAAGUGGUAUUACCUCACACGACAUUUUCUAUAUUAAACACAUGCUGACAGUCGGAGUCUGAGUGGAUCUACAGAGACAUUCACCUCCUGGUUUUUCUUCCACUUAUUCCUGCUCAGUCCUCGCUGCAGCACAGUCUCGCUCCGGUGAACAUCCCUCAGCUGCUUCAGGUCCCGACAUAGACCCGUUUAUCGCCACUUGCAGCUUUAAUUAAGCUCUCAUUCUUACACUUUUUAAAACUUUUAUUUCAGUCGCCAACUAGAGGCUCAAUGAAAACCGACAACCUCAGCAACCCUGUCAUUUAAAGACGAGGCUCAGCCGUCCACAAACUCUGCAGGGCAUGAAUGAGUAAGCUCUGCAGCUCCGUCCUGCUCCUCUUGUCCUGACAUUCAGACAGAUUUUUAAAUGAUUUUAAUGCUGCACCUUGUUCACUUCCUUACUUUGGUGACAUUAAGUCAGUGAGGCAUGUUGGGAACUCUGACAUCUGUCAGAAGACGCUGCCUGACGUCCUGGAGCUGGAGUGGUUAAUGUUUAAUUAAUGACUGAAGGCUCCUCUGCCAGACAGAGGUUGUCUGUCACGUCACAUCUGAGGGAAAACAAAGAGUGAGGAGGAAGUCUCCGGUGUCCUUAUCCCACAUCGCUCUGUCUGCCAUCCAUCACUGCUCACAGACCUCCAAGUAUUCAUCAGGGUUUGUUUCGCUCUCUUAAAGAUUUACAUGUCGUGAUGAAAACAUUACCAUCCCUUUUCUUUUUCCAGCCGUGAGAAAAUGUGUGAGCCGAGGCGUGUGAUUGUGUUUAUGUGGGUGUUUUUGAAUCGAGGAAGGGUGACUGUGUGCAUCCACACGUAGGCAUAUGUGCGCGUGUAAAUAUGAAUGCUUGGAUCUGCCUGCAUCACUCAGCGCAUAUGGCGCUGAAGUAAACAAAAGCUAGCGGGCCAUAUGUCUUCCUGCAGGUGCCGCUCGGAGCUGAAGAGCCUGAAAUCCUCCAGAUGUCAUCUCAGUUUUGCUGCGAGGUAUUCUUAACUUUGCACAUCUUUCUUCCACUCGUUUCAAGUUUAACUUUGAAAAAGUGACAGCGGAAAAGAGCGGGUACUUAGAGCGCACAGCUGCUGUAUAAAGAGUCUGUGAAUGAUACCUUACAGGGUAAUUCUUCAGGCACACACUGUCACAUCCUCUCCAUGCUUCCUCACAUACUUUAUGUUUAUCUGUGGUCCCAGUUUUGUCCUUUUCACACUAAAACACUCGCUGUAUUCAGGGCCGGAGGUUGUCAACAGGUAAGGCAGGCAGUUGACUGGGGCCCCAGGCCACUAGGGGGCCCCCAAGGGCUGACGAACCUUACCCCACAAAAAUGUCCUAAAAUAUUGCAACAACUAGUCGUCACAUUACAAUGACAUCUUAGAUGGAUACCCACCUAAAUGGGCCCCAUGUCAUCCCUGUCGCACCACUAUGUGAGCGACGUCCAUUUUCACUGGAGUGUGUCGAUUGAAAUAACGUCAAAAUCAGGCGUGAAGUGAAAUUACUUAUCAGGGAGUAAAAGAAAGUAAAAAUAAAAUAUAUAGCGAAGUUUAGUCAACACUUUAACUGUCUCCACACACCAAGCGCGAGUAAAAUUAUUGACGCGAAUGAAUUACAAGUCAAUGCAAAGACGCGAUUAGAUGCUCCUACUACUCUGGCGGCGCGAAUGACGCAAAUGUUGAAUUUGUUUAAAUUGGACUGAAUUGUUGCAUAAAAUCCUUUUAAGAGUUUUGUUUCCUUUUUAAAUGUCUUUAGAAACGUGUCUCAUGAUUUUGACUUCGAAAGACGUGAACUUGUGAGCUGUGGUGCUUCUGUCCGUUCAAACACACGUAUCAUGAAGGACAAACGCGUCCUUGUGGAUACAUCACGUUUGUGUCGACAGAAUUAAAAGUGGCGGCAAUAAAAAUCUGACCUGCGGUGAUUUUUCUUCAUUUUCAAACCUGUAACUGAGUCUCUUUGUCCAUCAGGCAUCAAGUCCCGACCAAAGCUUUGUGUGAGUCAGUUUCCUGUUGAUGAAACGGACCUCAGACCCGCCUCAGAGUUCUGGUUUGAUCAGACCGUGAGGAUUUUCCAGCCCAGAGGUGUUAGGGGACCAAUAAACUCGCUUUCUUCCAGUCCUGUUGAUGCAAAUUGCUUCUUCCACAUACAUGGAUGUGACAAACAUGAGCAUGUGCAGAACGCCCCGCGACUAUAUUAUCUCAUUUACUCGGAGCCUCGAGGGUUUGAUCAUUACACUGAGAGCUGAAGAGGAUUUAUGUGAGAUCAGAGUCAUCGCUGUAAGUCGGUACAGUCAGAGUCGAUUCUAGAGUGUGCUGGGGCCCCAAGGAAAAACCCUCAAGGGGCCCCUCUGACAAACAUUAAACAUAUAAACUAAAUGAAACAAACUAACGAGGUCAGAAACACAAACUUUUUAUAAACAAUUAUCAUUAUUACUACAUAGCUUGAAAACUUUGCUCUAAAAUAGCUUCAGCUCUGGUUUGUUUUUACCACAAUAGCAGCACCUCAAUUUUGUUAUAAGAUUUAAUGUCUGAGACUCGCCUUUAUGUAGAAAGCACACUGUCUAAAUUUAGAUCUACAUUUCAAAGCAUCAAUAGUGUUAGAGUUAGGCUAGUUAAAGGUGGGGUAGUCAGGAUUCUGUUAAAGAAGCAUCUUUCUUUGUGGUGUAUUUACAAAAAAUCUUUUAAUAUCAGUCAAUAGUUAUUAGUUAUUGAUGACAUUUGGUAAUAUAUCGAUAUCUCUGUGUUCUCUUCUGUCUGUGUCGUCAACAUUUGAACAUUUUUGAGCGGUCCACUCUUUCUGACUGUAAACAAAGCCAUUCUCCACCUCCUCUAACCUGAUUGGUUGUGAGGCAGACGCUGCUCCCCCGUGUCGUUCAGGAGCCCAAACAAAGUUAGCGUGCUACAAUAUCGGACAGUAGAAACCAACCAGAAAGUUCGGAAAAUUGUCUGAAUCCUCCUUUGGCCACGACUGCCGACACAAGCAAGAAAACAAAGUAAAUACCGUAUUAAUGAGUGACAAAGUGAAAAUUAGAGUUUGAAUAAAAUCCAUGAAGAAGAAGAACACUGCAGAGAAAACUGAGCGACUUAUAAACCAGUGAAGCUAAAAGGAUUCAGAGCUCCCUGUCAGUGUGAGGGCUGAGGUUUGUUAGGGUCAGAGAGUUGUCAGAGGUGACAUCAACGAGAGUCAAAGUCAUCGAUCCUCAGAUUAGACCAGAUUAAGAUCCUCAUUCCUCUGAUUUAGGAUCAUCUAGACCUGACAUCUGUGAGAGACCACGGCUCAGCUGGGAACACUGGAGAAGAUCACCUUAGUGGGAGAGGGAGAGAGAGAGAGAGAGAGAGAGAGAGAGAGAGAGAGAGAGAGAGAGAGAGAGAGGGAGAGAGAGAGAGGGGGAGAGGGGGAGAGGGAGAGAGAGAGAAAGAGAAAAGAGGGAGAGAGAGAGAGAGGAGACACAGAUUAGAGAAAGGAGGAUGAGAAAAGAGAGAAUAAACGACGAGAACAAACCAGAGAGAGAGAGAGAGAGAGAGAGAGAGAGGGAGAGAGAGAAAAGAGAGAGAGAGAGAGGGAGGGAGAGAGAGAGAGAGAGAGAGAGAGAGAGAGAGAGAGAAUGUGUGUGUGUGUGUGUGUGUGUGUGUGUGUGUGUGUGUGUGUGUGUGUGUGUGUGUGUGUGUGUGUGUGUGUGUGUGUUGUCUCUUUAACUCUGUGGCUCUAAAACAGUUGAAGUGUGUUUCUGCUCGAUGAGGUUUCUAUGAGGUGAAUAAAUGUUGGUUCAGUUGAUCUUCAGGACGGCUGCAGCUUUAAGAACUUCUGCUUGUUGGAGUUUGAGAGUCUAAAGUUCACAGAGACGCUCCUCGUCCUGGAUUGUAGACAAACUGGAUCCCCCCCUCCCUCGUCUCUCACAGCUCACUUCACUCUGCACUCUCACUUCCUUGUUUCCUUCCCUGCCUUCCUCCCUCCCCUUCAGAUCUACAGUUUGAGGGCGGGUGUAACCUCCGUGUGCUGAGGUCAUAUCCUGCUGACUCACAUGUUGUUGAGAUCAGAGCUCAGACUAGUUUCACUUCUCAGGAAAAAAAACUCAGUCAGUCGUCGUCGACAGGGAGUGUUGAAAUGGCGCAGAAAGGAGUUCAUCUGAACCGUGAGUCUUUCUCUUGUUCCAUCUGUUUGGAUCUUCUGAAGGAUCCGGUGACUGUUUCCUGUGGACACAGCUUCUGCAUGAGCUGUAUUCAAUCCUACUGGGAUACUGAGGAUGAGAAGAAGAUCUACAGCUGUCCUCAGUGCAGAGAGACCUUCAUACCGAGGCCUGUCCUGAAGAAAAACACCAUGUUAGCAGGUUUAGUGGAGGAAGUGAAGAAGAGCGGACUCCAAGCUGCUCCUGAUGGUUCCUCUGAGGCUGGACCUGAAGAUGUGGCCUGUGAUUUCUGCAGUGGGAGAAAACUGAAAGCUGUCAAGUCCUGUCUUCAAUGUCUGGUUUCUUACUGCCAGAUUCACCUCCAGCCUCAUUUUGAAUCACCUUCAUUUAAGAAACACAAGCUGGUGGAGCCCUCCAAGAAGCUCCAGGAGAACAUCUGCUCUGAUCAUGAUGAGGUGAUGAAGAUGUUCUGUCGCACUGAUCAGAAGUCUAUCUGUCAUCUCUGCUGUUUGGACCAACACAAAGGCCACGACACAGUCUCAGCUGCAGCAGAAAGGACUGAGAGGCAGAAAGAUCUGGAGGAGAGUCGAGAAAACAUCCAGCAGAGAAUCCAGGACAGAGAAGAAGAUGUGAAGCUGCUCCAACAGGAGGUGGAGGCUAUCAACGGCUCUGCUGAUAAAGCUGUGGAGCACAGCCAGAAGAUCUUCACCCAGCUUAUCCGUCUGAUGGAGAAACGCCGCUCUGAGGUGGAGCAGCAGGUCAGAUCCCAGCAGGAACGUGAAGUGAGUCGAGUCAAAGAGCUUCAGGAGAAACUGGAGCAGGAGAUCACUGAGCUGAAGAGGAAAGACGCUGAUCUGCAGAAGCUCUCACUCACAGAGGACCACAACCAGUUUCUGCACAGCUACCCCUCACUGUCAGAACCGGGUCAACCUGCAGACUCAUCCAGAAUCUACAUCCGUCCUCAGAGAUACUUUGAGGAGGUGACAGCAGCUGUGUCAGAGGUCAGAGAGAAACUCCAGGAUCUUCUGACAGAGACGUGGACAAACGUCUCACAGGCAGUGACUGAAGUGGAUGUUUUACUGUUAGAACCAGAACCAAAGACCAGAGCUGGUUUCUUAAGAUAUUCAAGAAGAAUCACACUGGAUCCAAACACAGCAAACGAAUGGCUGUUAUUAUCUGAUGGAAACAGAAGAGCAACAUUGACAGGAGAAGAAGAAGAAGAAGAAGAACAGUCUUAUCCUGAUCAUCCAGACAGAUUCACUGAUUAUCUUCAGGUCCUGAGUAGAGAGAGUCUGACUGGACGUUGUUACUGGGAGGUGGACUGGAGAGGGGACGGGGUUUAUGUAGCAGUCGCAUACAAGACUAUCAGGAGAGACGGGGACUCAUUGGAUUGUAGAUUUGGAGGAAAUGACAAAUCUUGGAUGUUAUUCUGUUCUAAAGACAGGUAUCAAUUUGUUCACAACAAAGUCCGCACUGAUGUCUCAGGUCCUCAGUCCUCCAGAGUAGGAGUGUACCUGGAUCACAGAGCAGGUAUUCUGUCCUUCUACAGCGUCUCUGAAACCAUGAGUCUCCUCCACAGAGUCCAGACCACAUUCACUGAACCGCUACAUGCUGGACUGAUCCCCUGGUCUGAUGGAGCCUCUGCUGAGUUUAUAGAAGUGAAAUAAAGAGAAUUUUGAGUCCAUCAGACCAAAAUCAUGGACUGAGAUCCUUGAACUCUUGAAAUGUUCUGGUUUGUAAAUGUUUGUGGAUCAGUCUCACCAAAAACUCUGGGUUUAGUUCUUCAUUUCAGCUUUUUGAUUCUUUUCUAAAGAUGCUGAUUUGGUCGCAGCUUUAAGGACAGUGAUUGUGGAGAACUUUGAUUGUUUGUAUUUCUCAUGUUGAAAAAAUCUUCAUAAAGUUUGAUAUCAACAACAUCAAGAUGAUGGUUUGUUCAAAUCACCUUCAGUUGGUGCAGAUGUUGAAGGUCUGAGACUUUAGAAAAAAGUGAGGUCAAAAUCACAGAAAAAGGACGACCUUAUUUCCUGUCCCAAAUCCAAGCGUCUAAAGUCUUUCCAGUCGUCCCCAAAAACUCUUCAGAUGAUCUGUUUCUUUCUCUGUUUGCUGAAUAUUUGUGUUCAUGUGAUCGAUGGAUAUUUCUGUCUGCUUCUGUUGGAUCAGUGUGUUUGUAAAAACAUCUAGAAUCAGACUUUGGACAGAUCUACAUGUUGUUAUGAGCUUUUUAAUCACUCUAAUAAUAAUAAUCACAUUUAUUAGUCCGACUGUUUGGAUGUUUCUGACUCAGCUCAGAUUGUGGUCAAGUCUCUGAUUGUGGGUAAAAAAAUCAUAAAAAUCCUCAAACUGAGUCACUGAAAUCACCUCGUCUGUUUGUCUUUAUUGUGUCUGUUUCUGCUGGAUGUCAUGUUACCGCUCCGUCCAAGUUUAUUUUUGUCAAAGAGAAAUGAGACUUAUUUCUGUGGUCAAACUCACGUCUCUCACUUCUGUCAGUCCAAACUUAGAGAUACAGACAGAGAGAGAUUUGGAUUUAAAACAAACUUCAUGUAAAAACGACUUUAAUCCCGUUAAUCCCUGACUCUUUAGACUUAAUCUGGAUUUUAAACGUGUUUAAAGUUGUUUCACAUUUUGUAAAGUUUUAAGUCCACAUCAACUCAGAACUCCAGGGUCCUGGUCCAGGAUCAGGAAACUCUGAGCUGUGUCCUGAUUUGUGAGUCCAAUAAAAAGUUCGUUAUGAUUCCGACUUUUAGAUUUAUUAUUCCGAUAAAAGCGGCGCUGCUUCAUCUGUGUGGUGCAGACGUUCGUAGACACGCCCACAGCUGGCUGUAAACUCCAGAGGAGAUAACGACAGUAAGUUCACAGUCCAAGUUCAUGGAGUCACGAGUUCAUGAUGGAGGACAGCAUGUGAGAGACGAACCAGAGUUCAGGUUUAUGAGCCGUUUAUGGUUUUAUACAGACUGAUGGAUCAGGAUCAGAUCUCCACAACAUGAACUCACCCUGAGAGAGAGAGAGAGAGAGAGAGAGAGGGAGAGAGAGCGAGAGAGAGAGAGAGAGAGAGAGAGAGAGAGAGAGAGAGAGAGAGAGAGAGAGAGAGAGAGAGAGAGAGAGAGAGAGAGAGAGAGAGAGAGAGAGAGAGAGCAUGGGGGGGCUCAGUGUUCAUAUGAGAGAGUCCAGCUGAUCUCUAGUCUAAGGAAAGAAGUCUGGUCCACAAGAAGAAAACCGACUUAAAGGUGAAGUAGACAGGAGUCUGUUAAAGAAGCAUCUUUUUAUUUUGUGGUUUUUAUACAAAAAUCUUAUUAGUUAUUGAUUAUUUGGUAAUAUAUCGAUAUCUCUGUGUUCUCUUAUGUCUGUGUCGUCAACAUUUGAACAUUUUUGAGCGGUCCGCUCUUUCUGACUGUAAACAAAGCCGUUCUCCACCUCCUCUAACCUGAUUGGUUGUGAGGCAGACGCUGAUCCCCCGUGUCGUUCAGAAGCCCAAACAAAGUUAGCGUGCUACAAUAUCAGACAGUAGAAACCAACCAGAAAGUUCGGAAAAUGGUCUGAAUCCUCCUUUGGCCACGACUGCCGACACAAGCAAGAAAACAAAGUAAAUACCGGAGACUCUGGAGGAAUAACGGCGCUUAAAACGGAGGUAGACCGGACAAGAGCUAAAAAGCCGGGUCAACAUAAACGAUGGGGGACGCUUGGGGAUCUUGGUGACCCUGUAACCUUUCUGCUGGACAGGUAAACCGCUUUAACAAAGUAAGACAAGUGUCUGUAACAGAAGUGUUUCUUGUCAAACGGACCUGCUGUAGCGUGUUGUAGCGCCAUCGCUAAACUGUCCUCCCUCGGGUCCUGGACUAUGUCACUUUAUCCUCGUUGUAGAAGUCCUGCAAACAUUGUGUUUGCUGGUAGUCUGUUGGCAUCUACAGUAGCACCAAUGCUUUUGACUUUCACCUUGACUGGGCCCCAUUUGUAAUGAUCUGAAGUAUUUAUCUGGAGGAGGAGCUGAGAGGAAAACUGGUUGGGAGGGGUAGAGUUUACAUUCAAGAUUUCUCCUAAAAACUGGAACUAACUCA